UGGGGAAUCUUGGACAAUGGGGGCAACCCUGAUCCAGCCAUGCCGCGUGAGUGAUGAAGGCCUUAGGGUCGUAAAGCUCUUUCGCCUGUGAAGAUAAUGACGGUAGCAGGUAAAGAAACCCCGGCUAACUCCGUGCCAGCAGCCGCGGUAAUACGGAGGGGGUUAGCGUUGUUCGGAAUUACUGGGCGUAAAGCGCACGUAGGCGGACCAGAAAGUUGGGGGUGAAAUCCCGGGGGCUCAACCCCGGAACUGCCUCCAAAACUAUUGGUCUAGAGUUCGAGAGAGGUGAGUGGAAUUCCAAGUGUAGAGGUGAAAUUCGUAGAUAUUUGGAGGAACACCAGUGGCGAAGGCGGCUCACUGGCUCGAUACUGACGCUGAGGUGCGAAAAGUGUGGGGAGCAAACAGGAUUAGAUACCCUGGUAGUCCACACCGUAAAACGAUGAAUGCCAGUCGUCGGGUAGCAUGCUAUUCGGUGACACACCUAACGGAUUAAGCAUUCCGCCUGGGGAGUACGGUCGCAA
rnacentral:rRNA from 1 species